UACGAAGGGGGCUAGCGUUGCUCGGAAUGACUGGGCGUAAAGGGCGCGUAGGCGGAUGGUACAGUCAGAUGUGAAAUUCCUGGGCUUAACCUGGGGGCUGCAUUUGAUACGUGUUGUCUAGAGUGAGGAAGAGGGUCGUGGAAUUCCCAGUGUAGAGGUGAAAUUCGUAGAUAUUCGCAAGAACACCAGUGGCGAAGGCGGCUCACUGGCCCGGUACUGACGCUGAGGUGCGAAAGCGUGGGGAGCAAACAGG
rnacentral:rRNA from 1 species